GGAACCACUGUGAUACAGGAAAAUUUACAGUUGAACAAGCACAUAUCAAAAUUCUAGGUUUUGUUUUGAUUAUGAAAUGAGAAUAUUGUCUUGGUCCUUGAAGAGCUAAACUGUACCUGUCAUGUCACCACACAUUUGUUAUAUUUAAAGUAAAUAAAAUGUAAUCUGGUCAAACAGGGUUUUUAUCAACAAGUUUCAAAUAUUAUAUAUCACAACAAAC